rnacentral:lncRNA from 1 species
GAACACUUGAGCCAUGUGCACGAGCCGAACCCACUUCACUCAAAACAGGUCUUUAAAUUACUGUGCCAGACUUUUAUCAAGAUGGGGCUGCUCUCUUCCUUUACCUGCAGCGAUGAGUUCAGCUCCCUGAGACUCCACCACAACAGAGCCAUCACUCAUUUAAUGAGGUCUGCCAAGGAGAGAGUCCGUCAGGUAAGCCCUCCCACGGCGUACUAUGUAUAUGACGAGUACAUUUGAAUCCUAGAACCCUGCGUGUGAGCUGAAGAGAUAGCUCAGCAGUUCCGAACACUUGCCCAGGGCCCAGGUUUGGCUGCACCUUUAGGGUGUCUCACAACUGUUGGUAAAUCUGUGGAGUAACCUCCAUGGGCACCAGGCACCAAAUGAGGUCAGUGCAUGUAGGCACAGUCAUACACGUGAAAUACAGUUAGG